CCCCGCAAGGGGAGUGGCAGACGGGUGAGUAACACGUGGGAAUCUUCCUAUUGGUGGGGAAUAGCUCAGGGAAACUUGGGGUAAUACCGCAUAAGCCCGUAAGGGGAAAGAUUUAUCGCCAAUAGAUGAGCCCGCGUCUGAUUAGCUAGUUGGUGAGGUAAUGGCUCACCAAGGCGACGAUCAGUAGCUGGUUUGAGAGAAUGACCAGCCACACUGGGACUGAGACACGGCCCAG
rnacentral:rRNA from 1 species